rnacentral:rRNA from 1 species
GAUGAACGCUGGCGGCGUGCUUAACACAUGCAAGUCGUACGGUAGCUUUGGAUUCGUCUAGAGUGAGAGUGGCAAACGGGUGAGUAACACGUAGGUGACCUACCCCAAAGUGGGGAAUAACUGCUGGAAACGGUAGCUAAUACCCCAUGUGCCUGUUGAUUCGUUUCACCAGGUAAAGUCGCAAGGCGCUUUGGGAUGGACCUGCGGCCCAUCAGGUAGUUGGUAGGGUAACGGCCUACCAAGCCUAUGACGGGUAGGGGCGUGAGAGCGUGGCCCCCCACACUGGCACUGCGACACGGGCCAGACUCCUACGGGAGGCAG